GUAGGUGGCAAGCGUUGUCCGGGAAUUAUUGGGGCGUAAAGCGCGCGCAGGCGGUUCUUUAAGUCUGAUGUGAAAGCCCACGGGCUCAACCGUGGAGGGUCAUUGGAAACUGGAGAACUUGAGUACAGAAGAGGAAAGCGGAAUUCCACGUGUAGCGGUGAAAUGCGUAGAGAUGUGGAGGAACACCAGUGGCGAAGGCGGCUUUCUGGUCUGUAACUGACGCUGAGGCGCGAAAGCGUGGGGAGCAAACAGGAUUAGAUACCCUGGUAGUCCACGCCGUAAACGAUGAGUGCUAAGUGUUAGGGGGUUUCCGCCCCUUAGUGCUGCAGCUAACGCAUUAAGCACUCCGCCUGGGGAGUACGGCCUCAAAGGCUGA
rnacentral:rRNA from 1 species